AACGAACGCUGGCGGCGUGCCUAACACAUGCAAGUCGAACGAUAAAGGCGCUUCUUCUCCGAGUACUCUAGCGCACAGCUGAUUAACACCUCGUUAACCUUCCUCUCUGAAUUGGAUAACUCGUCUAAAGAUGUGCUACUACCACCUAAUACCACAGUUCCCUCGAUAACAUUGGUCAAAGCUAUUCUCUUCUUGCAAGCUAUCACUUACUGUUGGGCCUGCGCACCAUUAGCUAAUUGGGAGGGUAACGGCCUACCAAGGCCAGGAUGGGUAGCUGAUCUGAGAGGAUGAUAGGCGACACUGGAGGGGAGACAGGGUCAAUACGCCUGAGGGAGGCAGCAGUGGGGAAUAUUGCGCAAUGGGCGAGAGCUUGACGCAGCAACGCCGCGUGAGAGAUGAAGGCCUUCGGGUGGUGAAGAUCUGUCGGGAGGAAUGAACGCUCCUGAGGUUAAAAGAAUCGGGAGGUGACGGUAGCUUCAAAGGAAGCACCGGCUAACUAUGUG
rnacentral:rRNA from 1 species